GGGGAAUAUUGGACAAUGGGGGCAACCCUGAUCCAGCAAUGCCGCGUGUGUGAAGAAGGUCUUCGGAUUGUAAAGCACUUUCGACGGGGACGAUGAUGACGGUACCCGUAGAAGAAGCCCCGGCUAACUUCGUGCCAGCAGCCGCGGUAAUACGAAGGGGGCUAGCGUUGCUCGGAAUGACUGGGCGUAAAGGGCGUGUAGGCGGUUUACACAGUCAGAUGUGAAAUCCCCGGGCUUAACCUGGGAGCUGCAUUUGAUACGUGUAGACUAGAGUGUGAGAGAGGGUUGUGGAAUUCCCAGUGUAGAGGUGAAAUUCGUAGAUAUUGGGAAGAACACCGGUGGCGAAGGCGGCAACCUGGCUCAUGACUGACGCUGAGGCGCGAAAGCGUGGGGAGCAAACAGGAUUAGAUACCCUGGUAGUCCACGCUGUAAACGAUGUGUGCUAGAUGUUGGGUAACUUUGUUAUUCAGUGUCGCAGUUAACGCGUUAAGCACACCGCCUGGGGAGUACGGCCGCAAGGUUGAA
rnacentral:rRNA from 1 species